UGUGUGUGUGUGUGUGUGUGUGUGUGUGUGUAUUUUGUCAAGGAUGUCUCCUCAGGAGCUUAGAAGUUGAAAACUCCGUAACAGAAAGAAGCCAGAAACAAAUGUGUGAUAGGCUCAACUAUAUAUUUUCUUUCUUCAACUAACACAUUGCUGCUAUAGAUCCUGGAAGCAGACAGCAUUCAUAUACCAUAUUCUGAGGUUAAGUGUCUGACUCAUCAAUGGGAGCGAAUUUACAUGUGUUGAAAUGUCUUCCAAAUCAAAACAUGGGUCUGUGAGAUGAAAUAGAUAGGCUCAGAAUAUAUGUUUAAAGUCCUGUUGGAUAGGUUUGCAAUCUAUUUGUUUGUCGUAUCUAUGAUAUGACACAGUUCCUAGUUACCUCAGAGGCCCAUUCCAGUUUGAAGGCUUUCAUAUUUGGGGAGAAAGGAGGGCUCUUAAACUGACUUAGCCUCUAAGAAACAUGGUAAUUGAAAGGCAAAAGUGAAUGAGGGGGACAAAAUAUACUAUGGCAUUGGAGAAUAUUUUGCAUGGAAGUAAGUACAACAAUGUUCUUGUCUACACGUUUCAUGAAAUACAACUGGCUAAGGACAAAGAACCACUAGUUUAAAGUUUAUGUGAUGUGCCAGGCACUAGACCAGGUAUCUACAUUUGAUUCUAUUAUCAAUUAAUUUGUAAAACUGAGGUUCAGGGUGGUAGAAAGAUUGAGAAUCGAUUGUAAGUCUGGUUGUAUCUGGUUCAAAGCCUGCUCUACAUACUGAGCUAUUGCAGAAAUGUGAAAGAAUCAGCCACUAAUGACCUGGAUGAUUUUUGCAGAAAUAACAGUGUUCUCAUAUCUAAAACAAUAGAUCUCUCUAAGGUUUAUUCAGAAGGCUCUGAAAACAUGAUUGCAUUCCUAGGAAGUUAAAAAUUGAUUUCAUAAGGUCAUUGGGAAAAUCUCCCUUACUACUUUCAGGCUGAGAAGUAAUUUCCCCCAAGUUUGUAAAAGCCCUCACACCGAUUUAAUUUCAGUUUAUGCAAAGCCCUUUGGGUGUAAAUAAAUGAGAUGCUUUAAUAAGGUAAUUUCUUUUAGAAAAUAGGUAGCAUGACAAAUAACAGGACAAUUGACACCAGAAAUAACUUUCUUGGUUUUACUCAUUCUAGACUGCCUAAUUUAUUUUCACUCCUCAAGAGGAAUAAGGAACAUUGAGCAUGGCCCUAAUUAAAGUCUUGUCACAAGUGUGACAAUAAUUUAGACCUACGUGGAAAUUUUGACUCCUGUUGCAAGACUCUCACAGAACUAGCCCCUGCCCGCCUCUCCAGCUUGUCUCCCCCUACUCAGUUGAAGCCACAUCAGCCCUUCUUGUGGAGUGUCUUUAGACACUCCAGGCCUCAGGAUCUUUCUAUUCUUUUUUGUUUGGAAUGCUCUUCCCGUAGAUCUUUCCAUUUCUAUGGCUUAUUUCCUUUACUCAGGUCUAGCACAGAAGGCUCCUCAUUACAUUGGAGACGUUUACCCACACCAUCUAAAAUAGUGUGAUCCAUCUGCCCCUUCCCACCCUCUCUAUCCUGUUGCUCUGCUCUAUUUUACUUUAUAGAACUUACCUCUUACCUUAUAUUAUAUUGAACAUUUCUUUUUAUUUAUUUUCUCCUUUUACUUCCUCCAAAAACUGUAAGCUCCAAGAUGGUAAAGAGCAUGCUUAUUUUAUCAGUCUCCUCUAGCCCCCAGAAAAACCCCAGUAAUUUCACUGCCCAAUCAAUGCCGUAUUUGCAGCAUGAAUCAAUGGAAUAUGUGGCUGUGAGUUUGUUGAAUGGUAGAUGACCUGGACAAAGCUUCUGGAGAUUAAAAUCCAAGUGAAAGGGCUACUCAAAUUAUUAUUUAUUUUUUCUCUGUCCUUGCCUUAAGUCACGGACUGAAAAUUCCUGGGAUAGGGUGAAACACAGAAGCUGGCAUCAAUUUAAUUAAAAAGGAGCCAUUUUAAAAAGUGGAGCCAUUUUGACCCUAUGUUAAUGAAGGAAAACGAAUGUUGCAGUUGGGGCUUAGCUCCUGGCGGUGCUGCUCCUGCCUUGCAGUGCGUCAGGAGCAUGUUCCCCUGCACCCAGGCAGGUGGCGCCACUUGCCUGGGCAACUAGGGCACCUCCUACAGGAAGGUCAGACACAUAGAACCAUUAAUGUGACAACAUGGAGAAAACCUUUUCUCUACAGUAAGUCUUCAGGAGGAAAAAGCGUGUAAUGGUGGAUACUGGAGUCAGGGAUUGGUAUAAAACCUACUCCCAGUAGGCCAAUAAAUGAAAUAACUAAUUUUAUAAGUGAUAAGAGAUUGAGAGGAGAAAGGUGAGGGAGAGGUGGAAGAUGGUGUGUGUCUUCCCAUUGCUCAUUUAUCUGUCUCUCAUGCUUGUGUCCUACUGGAGAGAGGGGGUGGUGCCUGAAAUGCUUCAGUGAGCCUUAAGUAUACUCCCAGCAUGUAGGUUUACUCUCCCAAUUUUCAGAGUAUGCUGUGAAGAAAAUGUUCACCUACAUUAAUGACAUUUUGUUUCAAAAUGGACCAUUUAUCCAACACAUUAUUGAAUGCUUACUAUACGACAAUGUUUGUACUAAGAACUAAGGCCACAGAGUGUAAUGAAACAUAAUUUCUCUCUACAAGGUGAAGGCAUAUAAAUGAUGUUAUAAAUACCAUGUAAGUGGUAUGAAUAAGAUGUUAUGGGCUCCCCAAGGAGCAUGUGUCUAUAAUUGGGGGAAUUAUGGAAGGACUCAGUUAGACGGUGGUAUUUGAAUUUGAAGGAUGAACAGGACUUUUGUCAGACAGAAAUGUCAGGAAAAGGACAUGCCAUACAGAAAAGCAUGUAUCAAAACAAUGAAUUGGAUUUUGGUAAUGGUAAGAAUUUUGGUUUUUAUGUGUGUGUGUGUGUGUGUGUGUCCCUACUUGAAAGCGUUAUGGCAUAAUGAUGGACAUUAUAUGUCAAGGUUUGUUCAAGGAAAUCUCAGCUACUCUAUGUAUUGCAAGUUUGAAAUGUUUAAUGCAGGGAAUUAGAAGUUUAUUCUCAUUGGAAGGCUUUCGGGGAGAUAAAGACUAUCUCAGUGCAGAAUAUUUAUUGAGGUGAUUUUCAAGUGUUCAUUCAGAAUGUGCUUCAAAUCUCAUGACCACCCAUGUGUCUGCUCACAAUAUCUGGGGAAUAAUGCCCUCCCAAUCUUUGGAAUUUGGAUUUGGAGGCAUUUGCUUUCCAUGUCUUGUGUGAUGCUUCUCAAUAGUGACUCUAAACAAAAACCACAUGGGAAAGAGUACUGCCAGCAUUUCUUUGUUGCCAUCUGCUUUCUGGCAGUGGAAAAUAGACCUUAUGGGUGCUAAAGUGGUACAGAAAUGAUAGCAGACAAUAAAGCUCUGUGAAAGGCAGGUAAGGUUGGCUGGAGUGCCAUUGUACCGGCUUUCAUGACAUCAUAUGUGUUUGCACUUCCUCUUGGAAUCAUUGGAGAUAUUAUUGAAUGUCUUACCUCAGGGAAUGAAAUAAUUAAUUGAGUUUCGGAAGGAUUAAUCUAUACUUUUAUUAUUAGAAAAAUAACUAUAUAUUUAAAGAAAAAAAUAAGGAAUGAAGGAGAGCAAUGUGUUAGUGUUGUUUUUGUGUUCUUAUAAAGAUACCUGAGACUGGGUAAUUUACUAAGAAAAGAGAUUUAAUUGACUCAUGUUUCUAUGGGCUGUACAAGAAGAAUGGUGCCAGUCUCUACUUCUGCUGAGGGCUUCAGGGAGUUUACAGUUAUGGUGGAAGGCAAAGAGGGAGUGGGCCUCUCACAUGGUGUGAGUGGAGGGAGGUGCCACACUCUUUUAAACAACCAGCAGUUGCAUGAACUACCAGAGCGAGAACUCACUUGUUACCAUGGGGAUGGCACCAAGCCAUUCAUGAGGCAUCUGCCUCCAUGACCCAAACACCUCCCAUGAGGCCCCACCUCAAACAAUGGGGAUUACAUUUUAACAUGAGAUUUGGAGGGGACGAACAUCCAAACUAUAUCCAGCAACAUAUGACACUCUGACAUUCAAAUUAUAUGAAGUUUGGAUUAAGGGAAAUAAAAAUGGAAGGUAGAGAAAUCAGUUGUUUCCUGAGCUUUGUCGUUUCCCUAACAGCCAAGUUUUGGUUCUAAGAAAAUUAAAUGAGCACCUAAACACUAACAUUGUGCUUCCAGAAAAGAAUCACCCUGUUCGUCUCCACUUUCACUCUUCGCGAUCCUUAGUCAACUGAUCAGAAACAAAAUUCUGUCUAGAAAGGUCACCCAUGGAUUUCUGUAGCAAACACUUUUAACCAACUACUAAAGAUUUGCUCCUCUUGCAUAAUAUAGAGGAUGCUAUGAAGUGGCUGCCCAGGCAUGGACUAUCAUUUCCAACCCCUUUGGAUCUAGGUGGGACCAUGUCACUGAAUUCUGUUCAAUGGAAUGUGAGUGAAAAUAUAACAAUUCCAAAACUGUCACAUAAAAUCUUCCACCCCUUCCAAACUCUCUUCCCAUCCACUGGCUGGAUAAAACUUUCUUGAAUGACCUGGCAAGCGACAUAAUAGAGGGGAGAUUCUUCAUGAACUUGGGUCUCAGAACCACCUUUACCCUCUAGACCACACUGCCGCCACCACCACCUCCAACUGGACCUUACAUGAGCAAAAACGAAACCAACACCACCACCACCAACAACAAAACACUCAUAUUUUAUUAAGCCACUGAGAUUUUGAAGCUUUUCUGUAAUCACAGCUGGUAAUAUUUUCUCUGUGUUUCUCUGUGGCAAUACGUACCACAUCUUUAGCACAUGAUAUGGCUAUUUAAAUGGGAAUGCUUUUGGAGUACUUGAAAAUAUAGAUAAGGAAUUCAGAAGGCUCUGAAAACAGAAUUUUGGAGUUGUUAGCACAUAGGUAGUAGUUGAAACCAUGGGUGUGGGUAGGAUGAUUCAAGAAGAAUGGGCAGAAUGAGAAAAGAAGGCCAAAGAAGAAAUCUUGGGGAGUCAAACAGUAAGGUUGCAAGCAGAGAAUGAAGCAGUAGCAAAAAGUGUAGCCAGAAGAAUAAACUAUAUUCUGUCCUAGGAUUCAUGAGGACUCAAGGGAAGGAAGAGUGUGUCAAAGGCUGAGGAUAAAUGUUUCACUGGAGUACAGAGAACAAAAGAAAAAUAGCUGUGCACUGAGGAGUGAAAAAGGGAAGUGAAAGUAGAAACAGAAACUGCAGCUGAUUCUAGAAGUACAGCAGUAAGGGAAGGAAAUACAUGCCUUCAAAGUCAGCAAAAUAAGCAGAUUCAUUUUAAGGAUGAGGACAAGUUAGACAGGUUUGUAAGCUAAAAGAGAAUAGCCAUGACAGAGGAUACAGUGAAGAUUCAAAAAACGGUGGUGAAUAUUGAAAAGGCCUUGGAGGACACAUAAUAGAAUGCAAAGUCCACAAGGAGAGGGGCUUUGUGUCUUGUUUCACACUGUGUCCCCAGGCUUAGAAUAUUCUGGCAUCAGAAGGCACUCAGUAAACAUAGAGAGGAAGAAAGGAAGAAGAUGAAAUCAGGAGUACAGAUUAAAGUGUUAUCUUUGGAAGAGAGGCAAGACAUCCUUUGGGACAGAAGGGAAGGAGGGAAAGCUGGGGAACAUGCAGAUAAUACAAGAGGUGCGGUUUGUGACUGAUGGCUGCUAUUUUCUCUGUGAGACUGAAUCCAGACAACUUUGGACAUUCCUUCAUUUGAAGAAUUUUUACUGAACAAUUACAGACCAUUGAUUGAUACAGUGAAGAUCAGAAUGGCAUAGUUUUCCUGUCUUCAUGGAGAUGAAUGAAUGAACUGUAUUUUUUAUUAGCCUAAGCAUGAAUUCUUCCCAAAUUUCCCCCAUGAACCAUAGGAUCCUACCUCUUAACCAUUUUAUGAAAAUUCUAUGGUGAAUUGAGGUCCUCAAGUUGUUUGACAAUAUCUGAUUUUGCCAUGGUCAUGUGGGAAAAGUAGGCAUGUGAGCAAGUCAUAGUUUUACUUGUUUGGAAGAUUCUUCUAAUUAUGUCAAGAUGAAAGGUUUUAUACUGUGUAGAAGGCAGUGUGAGAGAAGUGGACAGUAGAACUCCUAUUUGGUGGGCCAGUGGCUAUAUUUUAAAAUAUGAAGGAUACAUAUUUGACUGUUUAAGUACAAUGAUCUGCCAUGGAUCUAUACUUUUGGGCUGCUGUCUUUUAGGCUAAAGCAAUUAAAGGCAAUGUAAUGAACAUGGUUAUCUGUGGAUGUCCCUUUGAUUGCCAUUGUAUUAUGCUUUACACUGUGAUGGCUCUCUCUUUGAGGAGAGACGCUGUUCCUCCAGGGAGAUAAAAUAUAAAAUAUGAAUCUUACCCUUAAGCAUACACUUCUCCCCACUCUCAAUAUACAGUGGCUCUGGAAUUCAUGCUUCACUUGGGAGUUGAAAGUUUGCGUUUAUAAUUUUAUAUUCUUAUUACAGGCCAGGCUAUUGAGAUUAGAAAGUCUUUAUUUUUCAGUUGGAGUGUGAUGAGCCAUAUUCCCUAUUGUAAACAGCCAUAUUAACCAAGAUAAUUUAAUUUGGAAUGAUUGCUUUUUGCCUUUGAGCUGUAGAUCAAAAGGUUCCAUCAUAUGUACAAAUAAAGUAAAAAAAAUUUUUUCUGUGAAUGUUACAAAAUUUUUUUAUUGUGGUAAAAAACACGUAAGAUCUUUCCUCUUAAAUUUUGGGUGUAUGGUACAGCAUUGUUAACUAUAAGCAUAAUGUUGUAGAGCAGAUCUGUGAAAAUUUUGCCUCUUGUAUGAUUAAAACUUUAUGCUCACGGAACAGCAAUUUUCCCAUUUGUCCCUCUUCCUAGCAUCUAGAAACCAUAAUUUUACUCUAUAUUUCCAUGAGUUUGACUAUUUUAGAUACUUCACAUCGUGGAAUCAAGUACUAUUUGUCUUUCUUGUACUGGCGUAUUUCACUUGGCAUAAUGUCCUCAAGGUAUAUCUAUGUAACAGAAUUUUCUUCUUUUUAUGGCUGAAUAAUAUUCUAUUGUAUAAAUAUAUAGUACAUUUUCUUUAUCCAUACAUAUUGCUGAUAAACUUUUAGGUUGUUUCUAAUUCUUUUCCUUUUUUGAGACGGAAUCUCCCUCUGUCACCCAGGCUGGAGUUCAGUGGCGUGAUCUCGGCUCACUGCAAGCUCGCCGUCCUGGGUUCACGCCAUUCUCCUGCCUCUGCCUCCGGAGUAGCUGGGAUUACAGGCACCUGCCUGCCACCGCGCUCUGCUAAUUUUUUUAUUUUUUUAUUUUUAGUAGAGAUGGUGUUUCACCAUGUUAGCCAGGAUGGUCUCAAUCUCCUGACCUCGUGAUCCGCCCGCCUCGGCCUCCCAAAAUGCUGGGAUUACAGGCAUGAGCCACCGCGCCCGACCAGUUGUUUCUAAUUCUUAUCUGUUGUGAAUAAUGCUGCAAUGAACAUGGAAGGGCAAAUAUCUUCCAUGUCCUGAUUUCAGCUCUUUUGGAUAAAUGCCCAGAAGUGGGAUUGCUGGAUCAAAUGGUAGUUUUUAUUUUUAAUUUUUCUAUCAAUCUCUAUGCUGUUUUUUUUAUAGUGGCAACAUCGUUUUAUAUUCUCGCCAGUAGUGCACACGGUUCAAAUUUUUCCACAUCCUUGCCAACACUUUAUUUUUUUAAUUUUUAAUUUUUUAUAAUGACCAUCAUAAUGAGUGUGAGAUGAUACCUCAGUGUGGUUUUGAUUUGCAUUUCUCUAAUGAUUAGUGAAGAAUGUCUUUUCAUCUGCCUGUUGGUCAUUUGUAUCUCUUCUUUGAAGAUAGUUAUUUUUAUUUUUAUUUUCUGCUAUUGAGUUUCUUGUAUAUUUUUAUAUUAACCCCCUGUCAGAUAUAUGGUUUACAAAUAUUUUCUCUCAUUCUGUAGGUUGCUUUUGUACUCGGUUGAUUAUUUCCUUCACUAUGCAGAAGAUUUUUAGUUUCUGGCUUUUUCAUUUGAUGUAAAUCCAUUUGUCUAUUUUUGCUUUUGUUACUUGUGCUUUUGGUGUCAUAUCCAAGAAUUAAUUGCCAAGACAAAUGUUAUGAAAAUUUUACCCUAUGUUGCCUUCUUGGAGUUUUAUAAAUUCAUGUCUUAUGUUUAAGUCUUUAAUCUAUUUUGAGUUGAUUUUUGUGCAUGGUAUAAAAUAAGGAUCCAAUUUUAUUCUUUUUGAAUGUGAAUAUCUAGUUUUUCCAGCACCAAUUUUUUGAUACUAUCCUUUUCCCAUUGUGUACUCUUGGCAUCCUGUCAAAGAUCAUUUGACUGUAUAUGUGUGGGUUUAUUUCUGGACUCUCAGUAUUGUUCCAUUAGCCUAUAUGUCUAUCUUUAUUCCAGUACCAUGGUCUUUUGAUGACUAUAGCUUUGUAAUAUGUUUUAAAGUUAAAAAGUUUGAGGCCUCCAGUUUUGCUCUUUUUGUCAAGAUUGUUUAGGCUACUUUGGGGUCAUUUGUACUUCUGUACAAUUUUUAGAAUUGUUUUGUCAAUUUCUGCAAAAAAUGUCACUAUGACUUUAAUAGGAAUUGCAUUAAAUGUGUAGACUUUGGGUGGUAUGGACAUUUGAACAAUGUCUUCUAAUCCAUGAACGUGGGAAGUCUUUCCAUUUAUUUGUGUCUUCUUUUCUUUUUUUAACUUUUUUGAGAUUAUGUUGUGCUCUUCAUUGCCAAAAAUAAACACUUUUAAAAACACAA